rnacentral:lncRNA from 1 species
UCUCCCUUGCUCUUAAAACCUUUUGCCCUAAUUGCAUUUUUGAGCUCAUUUGAAGUAGAUUGGAGCUUAGGAAACCAUUCUAGAGGUAAAGUGAAAUCCAUAUUGUUACAGUUGAAAUGCUAUUCUCCGUUUGAGUUACUGGGAAUUUGGAGUUUGAAAUUAGUUAACCACACCUAAGGUAAGAGUUUAUGUAUAUUCAAAGUUGAAAAUGGGAAAUGUAAUUUGUUUCUAUGAGAAGCUGAAGGUUUAGUUAGUGAGGUGCUAGAAUUCAUUUGAAUUAUUGGAAUCAAGCUGAAAACUUUUAAAAACUGAAAAGAAUUAUUAUGUAUGUACUUGUAAGGGACAAUUGAGGCUUAAACCUGUUGCUAAGCUAGCAAUUAGCUGUUGAGUAGGAGAAACUCC